UACGUAGGUGGCAAGCGUUAUCCGGAUUUACUGGGUGUAAAGGGCGUGUAGGCGGGAGAGCAAGUCGGACGUGAAAUUCCAGGGCUCAACCCUGGAACUGCGUUUGAAACUGUUCUUCUUGAGUGAUGGAGAGGCAGGCGGAAUUCCGUGUGUAGCGGUGAAAUGCGUAGAUAUACGGAGGAACACCAGUGGCGAAGGCGGCCUGCUGGACAUUAACUGACGCUGAGGCGCGAAAGCGUGGGGAGCAAACAGG
rnacentral:rRNA from 1 species